rnacentral:lncRNA from 11 species
CAUUUUUUAUUGAUUGUACAGGCCUAGCAGCUACCCCUGAAUAUGUUUCAUGGAUCCGUAUGUAUUUGUAGCAAGUCCCUGUGCAACAUUUUAACCACAAGACCAACUCUUUAUACUUUCAGAGAGAGGAAAAGAGUAAGAUUGAGCGGAAUGAAAAUGAAAGAGAGUGACAGAGAGACAGAGGGUACAGGACUAGAAGCCACAUCAGUAUCAAAACAUAUCAAUGAACUGCAAUGAGAAGAAAAGAGAAAUGCCAGGAAGAAAAAUGAAGGCCAAAGACAAGAGAGAUAUUUUAUUGAUCACAAUGCUUUUCCA